UCCUUGUUCUAGCCAGCUCAGUGUGGACUUCCUUUGCAGUUGAUUUCUUCCUUCCUAUGGGAUCUCACAUGACCGAGGAACUUCUACAAAAGACAAAGGCCUUGUGCAUCAAGAAUAUACAGAUGUGCU